rnacentral:lncRNA from 1 species
CACAUAUUCAUAUUAUUAAGCCUCAUUACAGGAUCAUUAGCUCCUCCUUUCUAUUUACUUGUUUAAAAAACAGAUCUCUCAUUCACAUCUGUUUCUCUCCUUCUUUCAUUAAUGUACCAUACAACAAAAAUUAUACUGUGAUACUGAAGGAUAGGAUCUGUGUAAUAAUAUUUGCCGUUGUUUCUGGUGAGACUAAUUUUUGGCUUUGUUUUUUGUUAGUUUUUUUAUUUUCACUAAAUUGCAAAUUGCCAGACAGCAUAAUCUACAGAGAGGAAGAAGUUCCUGAAUAACUGUAUGUCUACAAACUCAUCACAAUCAUCACAACCCAGAGAACAGAAGAGCAUCAACAGAGCAGAUCUGACUUACUAAACAUGGACAGACACUUGAUACUGAUUUUAAUCAUGACUUUAGGUGCAAAGGCAGCAGACCAGAUUGGGCCAAAUCAGGGUGAAAAAGUCAUCAGUACUGAAGGAGAGUCUGUGAGAUUAAGCUGCUCAUAUGAUACAAGUAGCAGAAAUGUUGGACUUUACUGGUACAGACGGUAUCUUAAUAAAGAACCUCAGUAUUUAAUGUGGAAAGGUGCUCGGAACUGGGGUGGUACUACUGGAACCCCUGCUGAUCGUCGCUUUCAGUCGACUACAUCAGAAAAAUCCACUGAACUCACUAUUACUGGUGUAACUCUGUCAGAUUCAGCUCUCUAUUAUUGUGCUCUAAGAGUUGGAGCCCAGUGAUACAAAGUCUAUGUGAAGCUGUACAAAAACUCAAUUUAAUUUUUCUCUUUGAAGCUCAACCACAUCAAAACCACAAUGUUAUAGAUAGAUAAAUUAUUUGGAAACACCUGCAAACAACUGUUAUAAAAAAAAAUGUAUUCAAAAAAAGAAAUGUUUAAUAAUCGGUGCCAAUUAAAAUGGAAAGAAAAAACAAAGUGAAAUGCACAACAAAACAUACACAAGCACUUCAUAACACACAUGAACUUACAAAUUACAUAUAAUGCAGGUCAAUCAGCUAAUAGUAUUAUAAUGAUAUUUUCAAUUGUUUUUAUUUUAAAGAUUAUUAUUUGUUUUCUAAUCAACCGGAUAAUUAAACAAAAAAAAAAAAAAAAAAUUUGAUGUUAAUUUAAUGACUCUUAGGCCAUCCAAGAUGUACUAGGUUCAUUAAAGGCAAGACAGCGGCUGCCCGUUUUUGAGAAUCAGAAAAAAAGCAAAUUAAAGAAAACAAAAUUACCUUGUUACGAAUGAAGAUAUGAGAUCUUAAUAAUUGAAACAAUUGGCCUGUGUAAGAAUCCUUAGCUUUAGCCUCAGUGAUUUUCAAACAGAUCAUUCUUUUGAACCAGUUCAUCAAAUUGGACUCAUUCAGUGCUCCAGUUCCUCUAAAAGUACACUGAACCAAAGACCAAUGAACCGGUGAAACAAGC